AUUGAACGCUAGCGGGAUGCCUUACACAUGCAAGUCGAACGGAGUGGCGAACGGGUGGGUAAUGUAUCGGAACGUGCCCAGUAGCGGGGGAUAAAUACGCGAAAGCGUAGAUAAUACCGCCUACUAUUGGUGCGGUCAAUAUCGGAUUAGCUAGGUGGUGGGGUAACGUCUCACCAAGGCGACGAUCCGUAGCUGGUUUGAGAGGACGACCAGCCACACUGGGACUGAGACACGGCCCAGACUCCUACGGGAGGCAGCAGUGGGGAAUGUUGGACAAUGGGGGCAACCCUGAUCCAGCAAUCCCGCGUGUGUGAUGAAGGCCGUCGGGUUGUAAAGUACUUUUGGUAGGAAAGCGGUACCUGCAGAAGAAGCACCGGCUAACUACGUGCCAGCAGCCGCGGUAAUUC
rnacentral:rRNA from 1 species